UACAGGGGGUGCAAACGUUGCUCGGAAUUAUUGGGCGUAAAGCGCACGUAGGCGGUUCGUUAUGUCGGAUGUGAAAGCCCUUGGCUCAACUGAGGAAGUGCAUCCGAAACUGGCGAGCUAGAGUAUGUAAGAGGGUCGCGGAAUUCCCGGUGUAGAGGUGAAAUUCGUAGAUAUCGGGAGGAACACCGGUGGCGAAGGCGGCGACCUGGGGCAAUACUGACGCUGAGGUGCGAAAGCGUGGGGAGCAAACAGG
rnacentral:rRNA from 1 species